rnacentral:rRNA from 1 species
GAUGAACGCUGGCGGCGUGCUUAACACAUGCAAGUCGAACGGAAAGGCCCAAGCUUGCUUGGGUACUCGAGUGGCGAACGGGUGAGUAACACGUGGGUGAUCUGCCCUGCACUUCGGGAUAAGCCUGGGAAACUGGGUCUAAUACCGGAUAGGACCACAUUUUUGAUGGUGUGGUGGAAAGUUUUUCGGUGUGGGAUGAGCUCGCGGCCUAUCAGCUUGUUGGUGGGGUAAUGGCCUACCAAGGCGUCGACGGGUAGCCGGCCUGAGAGGGUGUACGGCCACAUUGGGACUGAGAUACGGCCCAGACUCCUACGGGAGGCAGCAGUGGGGAAUAUUGCACAAUGGGCGCAAGCCUGAUGCAGCGACGCCGCGUGGGGGAUGACGGCCUUCGGGUUGUAAACUCCUUUCGCUAGGGACGAAGCGUUAUGUGACGGUACCUGGAGAAGAAGCACCGGCUAACUACGUG